rnacentral:lncRNA from 1 species
UAUGUAUUUGUUUAACUCAUGUUAACUAACAGUAACCUUCACAAGAUAGCCUCAAAUGAACCAUCAAGUCAACUCAUCGUACAACACAUUUACAGCUAACAGCAGCAAUACAUCGUACAUCACAGAGAACGGUUCACAGAAACCGACAAACUAAGCUAGAGGCACAUCAUAAGCUCACAAGCAUGGCUGCCGUAGCAGUUUGUUCCGCCAGUAAAGAUAGCGACUUUCUUCCUCGACCAGACAACAGCCCAGCUCACAUCCUCUACCUCCUCACAGGAGGCGCGCCACCUCGUCUCCUUCAACAGGGGGAUCACCACCACGUCCACCAGCAGCCUGCAUGAAGCAGAACAUGAAAAGAGCAACAUCUAAUUAACUUGAUUGCCUUGCAGAUGACACACAAGAUGAAGAGCACUUGGACAGAAGCUACUAUACUUGUGGCUAUAAUUAACCUAAUCUAAUCUAAUGGGAACAACAUCACAAUUCACAAGCAAGCACCCAUACUCUGAAAUUCAGUAUAUAGUUGCCAACUGAAAUAAGUUCAGUUGAAAGUAGAGCAGAGAACAAGAAGGAUCAGCAGAGAGCUCACCAUGGCUGUCAUGUGGUCGACGUGGAAGA